rnacentral:tRNA from 1 species
GCUGUUAUAGUUUAAUUGGCAAAACGUUUGACUCGUAAUCAAAAAUUGCAAGUUCGAUUCUUGUUAGCAGCACCA